UGGCUUUGUAACUAUCUUAUAGGCAGAUUAUGCUUUGUUGACUUUGGAAAUAAAAUGUCAAAGGUUGAAUUGAAGCAAUUGCAAUUGAAGCAAUUUCAAUUCAUAUAUGUCUAAACUCCCAGACUCCCUGAGGGAGACAGAGUCAUAACAUAUGCAGAUGAUUGCACAAUUCUAACUACGUGCUAGGAUCACUCUAUAUUGUGCAAAUAUAAAUAUAUAUCUCCCCUCUGCAGCAUCGUUUUUGGAUAAUAGAAAAUUUCACCUAUCACCAAAAAAAUCCUGUCACUCUCUUUACUUCCUGGACUAAAGAGCUAUCUAUAACUCUGACCAUAAAUAAAUACAAUUUUUUAAUCCUUUAUUUACUUCAAUAAAAGGGAUAUAUUCAGAACAUUUACACUGUAGCAAUUAACUUGUUAGUGUCAUUCGUUCAUAUCCGAUAUUUAUAAUGUAAAUAUAACAUUACUAUAUACACUAGCAUGUGUUUCUUAAUGUAUCUCUGGAAACUAAGAUCUUCAACCAACGAGAAAUAGUAGAAGCAAUAUUACAAACACAAAGGAACUACAAAUCAGUUGUAAAGUUAAACCCAAGCAUGGAAAAUGCAAUUGAAUUAAAAAAUUUUUG